GUCAUUCUAUCUAGUGGCAACUUAGACUAUAAAGCCAUCUCCCAGCUUCCCAAAAGUAAUGUCUGUUUUCUCACUUUCUAAUAAUUACUUCAGAUUUGAAAGUAAGGAGUUGUCACAGUGAAUACAAAUUAGAGUCAGCUUCAGGGUAUUACUAAAUGUGGAUUGUUUUGUUCCGAGUUUUAUCCAUUUUAGGCAGAGUAACAUGAUCAUUUAUAUACAUCUGCCUCUAUGCAGGCUGUGUAGACAUACUCAGAACACCAGCUUCACCUCUUCAGUCUUCUAAGACAGUCUUUCUAAUACUCUAUAUUGUCUAAUAGCUAAGCUAUUGUUAAAUAAAAACACGCAAAUGUUUGCAGUUAGGCUCCCCCCUCCAUUCUCAACCUCUUAAGUGAUACAGACAGUAAAUGCAUUUUGAUGUUUAUUUAGAAAGUUGGCAUCCUGGGACUGUUCACAAGAUAGCUAAUUUGUCUGAAGGUCCCCAGAGACAGUGAAAGUCAUCCCACCAUCUCUCUAGCUGCCCUCAUACCGGGGAAGUAAAAUGCAGCAUAGAACACUGCAGCUCACGUUAUGGAGAACAGUGGUGCUAUGGUGAUUUCCUUUCUAUUCAAAUCAUUUAGUGAGGAUUUACAUAAUUUGCAUUAACGUGUGACUUUCGAUCACUUAUGCUGCAGCAGAGUAUUCGUUGCCUAUGUUCUCUAAGGCACCAGUGUGGUGGUUCAUGUGUCCUUGUAUAAAAGAUUACUGUCCUCCCCAUCCCCAGUCUUUGUAUCUGUGCACCAGAACAAAAUGCCCUCGGAUCAUGGCCACCCAGGCCAGAGAAUGAGGACCCACACUUUAAAAACCCUGUAGAUGAUAGGAUGAGCGGUCCUCAUCCGUCCCCUCCCUGAGAGUGAGGUUGGGUUGGAGUAGAAGGAUGGACUCUGCCAAAUGAUGACAGCAGCCCUGAGAGUCCUUCUCACAGGUGGCCAGCUCUGUCCCCUCCAGCCUCACCACACAUUCCCCUAGUACACAAAGGCAGACCCGGGCAGCCACUCAGCAUGCACAUGUAGCAGUGUCCCCUGUACACUGAAAAGGAAAUUGGGGCUUAGGGUGGGUGGUUACCUUACUUGUACAAAGUCACACAGCUAGCUAAGCAUUCCUGAAAGCCACAGAGGGAGUUGAUGUGCUUAAGGAAAGAAGUAUCGCUUAAUGUGGCCAAAAACCGAUUCCAUUUCUGUACAAAUGCAAGGAGUUUUUGCCAGGAGCCAGGGAUUAAUAGUCUAGAGGAAGGGACUAAUUGUACACAGGAACAAUAUUUACUUUUAUAAUGGGAAUAGUUUGAGACAGUGCAUCUUCUAGACACAAACAUUCAGUAGGAAGGGUUAUGCAUUAAUUCUUUCAUUUAAUGAGCAUUUUAAGCACCUAUUAUGUGCCAAAUAUCUUUUCGUAGCUCUACAACAGUGUUCACUUCUCAAUCUUUUGCUACACCAGAGCGUUGGGACCAUGCUCCCAUUAAUCACCCUGUCUCAAACAACAUGCUUUACCUUCAUUCGUUGAUUUACUCAUCCAUUCCUUCUCAUAGUUUUUAACCUCAAGAGCUCUGAGGUUCAGGGUGGAAUAAUAUGGAGGGCCUUUGAGAGGCUAACUUUUGAACCAAAUCUUCGAGGAUGAACUAGGGUAGUGGCAGGUAGAAAACUGCCUUUAUAUUUAGCCUUCUUUGGUACCUGGUCAUGGAUUUCUUCUUCAAGCAUGAAUGGCAUCAGUUGUCUGGGAGUGAGAUACAGUGUUCGUAUGCUGAGAAACAGAUUAGGCCAUUAAAAAAAAAGUUGUGGCCACGUGUGGUGGCUCACGCCUAUAGUCCCAGCACUUUGGGAGGCCGAGGCAGGGGGAUCACGAGGUCAGGAGAUCGAGACCAUCCUGGCUAAUAUGGCGAAACCCCGUCUCUAGUAAAUAUACAAAAAAUUAGCCAGGUCCUCACAACAGCCCUGUAAGGCAGGUAUUGUACUUUCUUAUAUUUUAUAGUUUGCACUAUUGUGUGCUCCAUGGUUAUAGCAAAAGCUUUGUCUGUAAAAGGCCACAGGGAUAGAAGGCAGAGAGGAAAGUAGAUGUGUGAUGCAGUAUUAAUUAUUGAG
rnacentral:lncRNA from 1 species